AGCAGUAAGAGUUUGAUCAUGGCUCAGAUUGAACGCUGGCGGCAUGCCUAACACAUGCAAGUCGAACGGUAACAGGCCCUUCGGGGUGCUGACGAGUGGCGGACGGGUGAGUACAACGUAGGAAUCUACCUUCUGUGGGGGAUACCCGGGAAACCCGGGCUAAUACCGCAUACGUCUUUCGAGGCAAAGCGGGGGAUCUUCGGACCUCGCGCCAGAAGAUGAGCCUACGCCCGAUUAGCUUGUUGGUGGGGUAAUGGCCUACCAAGGCGACGAUCGGUAGCUGGUCUGAGAGGAUGAUCAGCCACACUGGGACUGAGACACGGCCCAGACUCCUACGGGAGGCAGCAGUGGGGAAUUUUGGACAAUGGGCGAAAGCCUGAUCCAGCAAUGCCGCGUGGGUGAAGAAGGCCUUCGGGUUGUAAAGCCCUUUUGGCAGGAAAGAACAGCUUGAGGCUAAUACCCUCAAGUCUUGACGUUACCUGCAGAAAAAGCACCGGCUAACUCCGUGCCAGCCGCCGCGGUAAUAC
rnacentral:rRNA from 1 species